UUGUGGAUUUACCUACAUACCUGAGGUAAAUCCACAAGGCACCUUGAGUUCAAACUAUGAAGUGACUCCAAGCGAAAUAUAGCAGAAAUUGGGACUUAAACGAGCUUAGAAAUAAUCUGCUUAGUGCUGGAUAAGUGUUUUCACUUUACCAUAUGUUGUUUUUUAUUCAAAGUUAUUGUAUUGUUCAUUAUUGUAAAAGCCAAGCAACUUUUGCAACAUUGAGGAUCAUACUUUAGCUUUGGAAACAAGACAUAUGUAGUUAUGCUGAUCUUCUUUUCCAGAGUCUUUGAUUAUCACUUAAUUUCAUUCACUUUUGAUGUAGUGAAAAUGUAGAAUGAAUUCACUGGAAUUCACUGGGAUUGUAUUGUGUAUGCAAGUCCAAAUAUUUCGGCCAAUAUUGUUUGGCCUUGGUCACUGGACAACUACAAUAACCCUAUAAGAAUAGCUCACAUUGCAGCGACAUAUUUUUGUGUCUUGUGGGGUCUCAUAUAGCAAUAACAAGAGCAGUGACAUGCAUAGUUUGCUUGUGUUGUCACAACUUUGUACAAUAUUUCCAGCUUUAUGAUAUGCAGUUAUUAGUCACAUUGGGCAUCACGCAUAUAUUUUUUCCUGCUGGAGGGAAGACACAGGAGGGAUCCAGUGACUCAUGUUUUUGCUUCUAUCGCUUCACCCCUGGGGAAUCAGUUCCUACACCCCUUGAGUAUAAUGGUCACCAAGGGGUGCUGUCCUGACACGUCCACUUUCUGUUGAGAAGAUCCCGAAAGAAGAUAACAGCUUGUUUUCUUCACCGCCACCAGUCUACCUGCUCUCUGCACACUCGGCAGAGCGCGGCAGGGCACCCCACGGAGCUGCACUAGUCACAUCCGGGCCCCACGCCGGUCGACGGCCGAUGCGCCGCUGGGAGGCCUGCGGCGCGGACGACGGAUGCGGCAGUUGGUCAAGACACGGCAGCCUACUCGAGGUGCUUCUCGCCUGGAGGACGCAGGCGAAUCGCGUUAUCCGAGCUGUGCCUCGUCAUGGUGCGAUGAGCCUUAAUAGACUAAUGCAUAUUCUUCCUUUGGCUGUAAUUCAUUUGCUGCUGCCCGCUGGGCUAAGGAGUAACUCUGGGCGCCUACUUUGGGCAGACGCUCGUCCAGUGCCGCUCUUCGUUUGCCGCACAUAUCUUUAUUUAUUCUUUGUUACAAUUCCGUCUUUGGUCAUUUUUUUUUUACCAUGGGGGCACUUGAAAGUUUUGUUUUUAAAUCUGUGGACAUUGAACCUGGAAUCGGUUUUAUGUCGGAUUUCGGUUUUGUUUUUGCACUGUGGAAAUAUCUCGUUCAAUAUUUUUAAGAUAGGGCGUGCUAAAACUUUUAGUCUCAUUACUCCUCUGUGCAUCUAAAUUCUAAAGUACUAUAAUGUGCAUCUCAAGUGUUUGGUGCUGUACUGUUAUUAUUUAUGGUUAAUCCAGUGCUGUACUGUUAUUAUUUAUGGUUAAUCCAGUUUUUAUUCGAUUGAAUCGUUGUGUGUAGUGCAUGACAUCCGCGUACCGCCUGUAGCAGUGUUAUAUAUUUUCAUUUAUGCUGGAAAAUAAUAACUUUCUUGUUCAUUG